GAAAUCUAUCAAUUUAGAUCUUUUUGCUGAAACAAAACAAAACAACAUGAAGGUUUACACAUUGUUUAAGGUUUAGAUUCUCUAUCCCCAAGCUGGAGCAACAGCACCCAGGAGCAAUUCUGCAACUCCAUUGCUGACUACACCUGAGGAAACAGGAUCAGUAAAGAGAUGCCAAAAAAUCCCAGGAAGCUGCACAUAAACAACUCACCAGCUGAGCUGUAGUCACUGUGAACCUAGAAAGGGUUAAAACCCUUUGCUUCAGAAGAAGGAAGAGGUUAGCCCUUAAAGACUAUAUAAGCUGCAAAACCUGGCAGUUGUGGCUUGUUAAACUGCUGGGAGGUGGAACUGACAGCUGUGCUGCCUAAGUGGGGGAAGUCAUAAAAGGGAAGCAGAGGGCCCCUGAGGGAGUGGGAUAGCUGGGCUUCAGCGUUGCUCUGGCUAGGGGGAAUUUUACUUUGUUUGAACUAAAAUGGAUGCGGCUACUGUGAGACACCGAUCACGAUCACCGUAAGGCUUUCAGUUGGGUUGUUUAUGGAGAGUUGAACAAGAGUUUGUUUGAAAUCCUCUGCAAUGAUGUGAAAUUCUGCAAACCCGGCGACUCUUGAUGGCACAUCUGACGACUGGCAGGCAAUGCCUUCUGCCUGUAAACAUAUAUAGGCAGUAAUCAUUUCCAUAUACAAAUUGUAUUUGUUCUUCUGAAAGCAGAGCAAUUAAGGAGUCUGCAUUUUAAAAAAAGUUUAUGCUUACUGGUUUUCUGUUUUUCAGUUUUACAAAUGAAGGAAAUGCCUUGUCUUCAAAAUAUUUGGACUGUUCUUUCUGUAUUUCCAAUAAAUUGGUAAAUAACUCAA